UACAAAACAAAUACAAACUUCGGAUGCACAGUGCAGCCAUCUGUCAUGCUAGUUAACACAAGAAAACCACUUUCUUUUACUUGACUAUGUGACGAUGUUUAAGAUUGUUGAAAAAUCCAUUUUCGUUCUCAAUUUUUUUGAUGGAAUUUAGUAAUUUUAAAUUAAUUGUUUUACCCGAAGAUACUCGAAGGGUUUCUGAGUGACAUUAUUGUUGUUUUUUUUUUUUUGGGGGGGGGGGGUUUCUUGAUAUUUUCACACUAGAUGGCUCGACUGUAGAAAGUAAGAGAAAACUGUAUGUUUAGGGAUUGAGCUUUUGAGCCCUAGUAGUAUUGCUUUGCCUGAGGAUGUGGAGUGGAGUGGACUGGUGGAGGCGGUGGAGGGGGGGCAAGUACCAUAUUAUUUUGAAUUUUUAUAUUAAUGUAGAAUUGUAGACCCAUCCCCAGCAACGUUAACCUGCAGAAGGAAAGGCCAGUUUGCAUGUCCUUCAAACUCGGAAGGACGGAUAGAGAUCAUACGAUACGUAAAACGUGUCAUGCAGUGGUGUAGAGACCCACCCCCAACGCCAACCUGCGGAAAGAAAGGCCUUGUCCUUCGCGCUCGAAGGUCACGGAGAUCAUUAAGUAAAACGUUUCAUGCAGUGGUGAAGAGGUUGGGUGAGAACGACACGUGUUGCUUCAUUAUCAUUUAUCAAGCAGGUACAAAACCCGCAAGGCUGAGGAGGUGAAGGAUGAAAAAAAAUCGUAUAAAACGAGAGAGAAAAGGUGUAAGAAAAUCAGUCGAGUGAGGAUCUCCGACACGGCAUCAACCGUAGUUCUUUAUAUGUCACCAACUCCCACUGCAUUCUUCAUCGUACUAAAUCAGUUCGUAAUCAUGGUUAAUUGUGGCCUUAAGUUGCUGUUGGGUGAUGGCUUGGUCGACCACGAGAAAAAAUUGGAUGAAAGGAGAGAAGGCGAUUAGUCGUGUGAGUAAUGGAGCAUCUCCGACACGACAAUAACUACAGCUAUGUGUCACAACUGGGUUGUUCAUCGUACAACCAGUUCGCAAUAAUGGUUAAUUAAUGUCGUCGUGCUGCCGCUGGGUGUUGCAUCGUUGAUGGCUGGGUCGACCACUGGCGUACCGAUAUGGUGGAUAUCAAACCGCAAUGCUGCUGCCUAAUUAAAAACAACGUACGAAACAACCGGUUGCUUCACCAUCAAGGCUCCAAAGUAUCAGUCAGACUGAUGCAACACUUUUGUGCUCCGAGCUACUACACCGGAGAUCUGAAUUAUAACUCUACCCCGAGCUACAUCACCAAAGAGCCGGAGUACUACACCGCCAAGGCAUCAGAAUAGAACAUGACUACGUAUGCUGCCCGUGCUUACUACACCGAGUUCGCUAAUUACUACAACACCGAAGCGUCCAAGUACCACACCACAACCUACUCUGCCCCAGGUUACUACACCGACGCCCCGAAGUAUUUUUCUGCUUAAAAGGAGUCGUCUAAAAAAAAAGAAGUAUAAAAGGAGAGAAAGGGUGACAGCGUCGAGUGAGGAUGUCCGACUCGCUAAUAACUGCAGCGCACCAUUUUUCAAAACUGGAUUGUUCAUCGUAUCAUCUGUUGGUAAUUCUCGUUAUUGAAAAUUAAUAGCUAACUACAUCGUUGUGCUGCUGUUGGGUGUUGUAUCGUUGAUGGUUGGGUCGAACACUGAUGUACCGAUUUCUCCUUCGUCUGGUGGAUACCAAACCGGGUUGUCGCCGCCUUACUACCGCUUACUACGCUACAACUUACGCAGCGACCAGUUACUACACCAAGGCCCUAAAGUACUACACCACUAAGGCACUGAGUAUUAUACCACAAGUUACACUGCCCCGAGCUACUACCAAAUGGAGGCUCCAAAGCACUACACCAGAAAGGCUCCCGAGUACUUCACUAUAACCUACACUGCCCCCAGCUAGUAUGCCGACGAUCCUAAGUACUACACAACCAAGGCACCCGAGUAUGUUACCACUACUUACGCUCAUGCCUACUACACAGAAGCUCCAAAGUAUUACUCUGUCCACAGUUACUACACCACUAAAGGCACUUGAAUAUUACACCAGAACUUACGCUUCAGCAUACUACAAGGAGACUUCUAAAAAUUACAGCUGUAUGUUCUGUUUUAU